UCCCCGUUGGCCGGGGCAGUUUCGCCUGAAAUUACAACAGACGACAAGGGUUGCGCUCGUUGCGGGACUUAACCCAACAUCUCACGACACGAGCUGACGACGGCCAUGCAGUACCUGUCACCAGGUUCCAAAAGGCACAGCUCUGUUUCCAGAGCCUUCCUGGGAUGUCAAGCCUUGGUAAGGUUCUUCGCUUACCUUCGAAUUAAACCACAUGCUCCACCGCUUGUGCGGGUCCCCGUCAAUUCCUUUGAGUUUUAAGCUUGCGCUCGUACUCCCCAGGCGGGAUGCUUAUCGCGUUAGCUUCUCAGCCCAAGGGGUCGAUACCUCGAACUAAAAGCAUCCAUCGUUUACGGCGUGGACUAC
rnacentral:misc_RNA from 1 species